GACGAACGCUGGCGGCGUGCUUAACACAUGCAAGUCGAACGGAAAGGCCUGCUUUCCCUUGUGGAUUGCGGGUACUCGAGUGGCUAACUGGUGAGUAACACGUGAGUGAUCUGCCCCCAACUUGGGUAUAAGCCUGGGAAACUGUGUCUAAUUCCCGCUAGGACUGCAGGGUGGUGCCUGUGGUGGUACACGAUUUUCUCGUGGUUGUGGUUGAGCUCUCGGGCUAUCAGGUGGUUGGUGGGGUAAUGGCCUACCAAGUCGGCGACGGGUAGCCGGCGCGGGAGGGUGAACGGGCAAAUUGGGAAUGAGAUAAGGCCCAGACGGAGACGGGAGGAAGGAGUGGGGAAUAAUGGACAAUAGGCGGAAGCAUGAAGCAGCGACGACGGGGGGAGGAUGACGGACUUCGGGUUGUAAACUCCUGUCGACAGCGAGGAAGCGACCUGGUUGGAAGGGUGGUGACGGUAGUGGUAGAAGAAGCACCGGCUAACUACGUG
rnacentral:rRNA from 1 species